UACGUAGGCAGCAAGCGUUGUUCGGAGUUACUGGGCGUAAAGGGUGUGUAGGCGGUUGUUUAAGUUUGGUGUGAAAUCUCCCGGCUCAACUGGGAGGGUGCGCCGAAUACUGAAUGACUUCGAGUGCGGGAGAGGAAAGUGGAAUUCCUGGUGUAGCGGUGAAAUGCGUAGAUAUCGGGAGGAACACCUGUGGCGAAAGCGGCUCUCUGGACCACAACUGACGCUGAGGCGCGAAAGCUAGGGGAGCAAACAGG
rnacentral:rRNA from 1 species